CUGCAGCUCAAGUGGUGAUCAUUAUUAUUGGGCCUAAAACGUCCGUAGCCUGUUUAGUAAAUGCCUGGGUAAAUCGUGUAGCUUAACUAUACGAAUUCCGGGUAGACUGCUAAACUUGAGACCGGGAGAGGCUAGAGGUACUCCUGGGGUAGAGGUGAAAUUCUGUAAGCCUAGGGGGACCACCAGUGGCGAAGGCGUCUAGCUAGAACGGGUCUGACGGUGAGGGACGAAGCCCUGGGGCACAAACCGGAUUAGAGCCCCGAGUAGUCC
rnacentral:rRNA from 1 species